CAUUAGUGGAUUUUGGAUCCCUAUUUAUUUUGUGCCCAAGUAGGCUGCAUUUUUGUUGAUUUUUCAAACACAUUUGAUUCUUCAUUUAUUGAGCAGAAAUGGAGUACGCUCCUGCAAUCCUGUCCCUGAAUGCUAAGUUCCCGGGGAACUCCCAUGAUGCCCAUGUCAUUAGACAAUCAGGGAUAUGGCACAGAUUAAGAUCGAUGGAAGGACAAGACAUGUGGUUAUUGGGUGAGUGUUUUUUUUAACUUACAAUAAUAUUUUUAAUUUUAAGAUUCUAAUUAUUUUCUUUUCUUCUCAUCAAACAGGAGACCGUGGAUAUCCUUGCACCCCCUGGCUCAUGACUCCUUACAGUAAGCCCAGGCCAGGACCACAGACGGCAUUUAACUCCGCGCUUACUGCCACUAGACAGCUGGUGGAGCGCAUGAUUGGUGUCCUUAAAGGGCGCUUUCAUGUGCUCCACCGCACUGGUGGCGACAUCAUGUAUUCGCCGGAGAUGGUAAGUAAAAUUGUGGUCCUGUGCGCUAUCCUACAUAACAUCGCUGUAAGGAGUCGCGUUGAGCUUCCUCACACAGAGGAAUUGCCAGAUGAGGAGCCAGGGGUUGGGCGGAGAGUCGGUGGGGGGAGUGUUUCCCGGAGGGGAAACGAAAUAAGGGCACGCAUUGUGCGGGAAUAUUUCAGGUAUAGUGAAUUGUUACAAAUUAUAAAAAUAUUAAACAAAGUCACUGUAUAUUUAUGUUCAUUUUGCUCUGAUGUCAUUUAGGUAGCUAUUGAAAGCUCAUUGUGUAAUUGU